GACACGUUUUGUAGGGGAAAAGGGGCACUUUGAACUGAAAAGGAUGUUGACCCCUGACCUAAGCCAUGAGGUCAACACAAAACAAAUACAGAAAAAAUUAUUGACAGAAAAAUGGAACGGUUACUUUCAAGAGGCUACAGGUGAAGGUGAAUGGAUGCUCCUGUCACUCCAUUUCCCAGGUCAUCAUAGAACUCCGACACAGAUGGAGCUCUCCUGCAGUAUGCAGUGUAAUGCCCCAAACCACCACUAGUCAUCUUUACAUGUAAAGCAAUUAAUGCCCUCAAAGUGAACGACUUUCCUUGGAGAACCAGGUUGGAGGGAAAUUCACUUAAUGGAAAUUCUGUUUGGUUUGCAAAAGAUUGAUUGGAGAGUGGCCUGAGGCAGGUAGACUCAGGUAGGCCAAGUCCUGCUUCCACAGCAGUGCCAAGAUGAGCCAUACCAGACUCUUUGAGGACACAGAUAGCAGGACAAACAAAUGGCUCUUCCCUUUUCAUCCCUUUUCUGAGGUAGCAGUGCUGUGAAGAGCAGUGUUUUGUAAAAUAAACACUUGAUAUGUUCCUCAUUGCCUUAGCAAUUACAGCGGAGACAUUGCACUGAGCAUCGAUUUGGAUUUCACCAGACAUCAACUGGACAGCUUCAAACAUUACACUAAGCAGCUCUGCCCUCCUGUA